GUAGGUGGCAAGCGUUGUCCGGAAUUAUUGGGCGUAAAGCGCGCGCAGGCGGGUCCUUUAAGUCUGAUGUGAAAGCCCACGGGCUCAACCGUGGAGGGUCAUUGGAAACUGGGGGACUUGAGUACAGAAGAGGAAAGCGGAAUUCCAAGUGUGGCGGUGAAAUGCGUAGAGAUUUGGAGGAACACCAGUGGCGAAGGCGGCUUUCUGGUCUGUAACUGGCGCUGAGGCGCGAAAGCGUGGGGAGCAAACAGGAUUAGAUACCCUGGUAGUCCACGCCGUAAACGAUGAGUGCUAAGUGUUAGGGGGUUUCCGCCCCUUAGUGCUGCAGCUAACGCAUUAAGCACUCCGCCUGGGGAGUACGGCCGCAAAGGCUG
rnacentral:rRNA from 1 species